rnacentral:tRNA from 1 species
AGCGGAGUAGAGCAGUCUGGUCAGCUCGCUAGCCUCAUAAGCUAGAGGUCGGGGGUUCAAAUCCUUCCUCCGCAACCA